AGUGGAAACGACCCCCCAGAAAUUAUCGCCAUAGACAAAGCCACGGCAAUCCCACCAGUGCCAGAGAGGGUUGAAGUAGGCAACUCCCCAAUAUAUAUAACUGGUAAGAAGUUGAGUGGUAAGGUCUAUGUUGGCAGACGAUUAGGUAUGCCCAGUGGAGGAUACAAGGGUCGAAAUGCAAUCGAGGUUGCACUGAAAUUUGUGCAUCGGAGAAGCAGGGAAGGUAGCUGUGACCCCCCAUAUGAGUGGCAAGUCUAUCAGGCUCUCAAUGGUUGUUAUGGCAUACCAUCGGUACACUACAAGGGUUGCCAAGGAGACUACUACAUUCUUGUAAUGGACCUGCUUGGUCCUAGCCUCUGGAAUGCUUGGCAUUCACCAGGACAGGAGAUGUCAGUUCUAAAGGUUGCUUGUAUUGCCAUCGACGCCAUAUCAAUUCUUGAGAAGAUUCACUCCAAAGGCUUUAUACAUGGUGAUGUAAAACCUGAAAACUUUUUGCUUGGUCAGCCUGGAUCUGCUCAAGAAAAGAAGCUUUUUCUCAUUAAUUUUGGUUUAGCAUCUAACUGGAAAUGGAAAAGAGGAUCAUCCAGUAUGCAUGUUCAGUAUGAUCAGAGGCUAGACAUAUUUAGGGGAACAAUUAGAUAUGCUAGCGUCCAUGCCCAUUUAGGUCGUACGGGCAGUAGGAGAGAUGAUUUGGAGUCACUAGCAUACAGCCUUAUAUUUUUAUUACGAGGAAGCUUGCCAUGGCAAGGCUGUCAGGGAGAUAACAAGAGCUUUCUUGUUUGUAAGAAGAAAAUGGAGACUUCUCCAGAGGUCCUGUGUAGCUUCUGUCCAGCCCCAUUCAAACAUUUUCUUGAGUUGGUUACUACUAUGAAAUUUGAUGAAGAGCCAAAGUACGAAAAACUUGUUUCUCUCUUUGAUGAUCUGAUUAUCGGGCCUGUUUCAAGACCCAUCAGGAUCGCUGGAGGUCUAGAGGUUGGACAUAAACGUGGAAGAAUUGUUGUAAAUCUUGAAGAAGAUGAACAGCCUAUGGAAAAAGUUCGGUUGGGGAGCCCAGCAACUCAAUGGAUUUCGAUUUAUAGUGCUAGGCGGAACAUGACGCAGCGAUGCCACUAUAAUAUAGCUGAUUCAAGGCUGCAUCAGCACAUACAAAAAGGUUAUGAAGAUGGCGUGUUCAUUAGUUGUAUAGCUUCUUUAAAAAAUGUGUGGACUGUCAUCAUGGAUACUGGGACCGGCUUUUCUUCUCAAGUUUUCAAUCUUUCACGAAAUUUCCUACAGAAGGAUUGGAUUAGGGAGCAGUCGGAGAAGAACUUUUACAUAACAGCAAUAGCUGGAGCAACCAAUGGAAGCUCAUUGGUUGUGAUGUCCAAAGGGACUCCGUACACACAGCAGUCAUACAAAGUCAGUGAAUCUUUUCCUUAUAAGUGGAUUAAUAAAAAGUGGAAAGAAGGUUUUCAUGUAACAUGUAUGGGUACUGCUGGGAACCGUUGGGGUGUUGUCACGUCAAGGAACACCGAUUAUUCCUACCAGGCUGUUGAGUUAGACUUUGUGUAUCCAAGUGAAGGAAUCCAUCAGCGAUAUGGUGCCGGUUACAGAAUAACAUCAUGCGCAGCCACGCCUGACCAAACCGCUUUUAUCAUGAGCAUAGCCAAGGAGUCCAAGACGAAACCAGUGGAUGAAACUUUUCUGACUUCUGAUUUCCCCAGCAAGGCUACGAAGGAGCAAUGGGCGAAGGGCCUAUACAUCACCUCGAUCUGCCACGGGCGAACUGCGUGUUGA
rnacentral:rRNA from 1 species